UUGGUGUUGGAAAUUAUCUCCUCUUGGCUCAGUUUGUCCAGUUUCUCCUCCCUUGGGUACACCAUGGUGGACAUAGUCCUGGUCCUGCAGCCCUGGAUGCCUGCAGCGGCUUGUCCAGCGCCGGCACUCCCGGAUGCCCCAGAGCUGUGGAGAAGCACAGGCGGCGGCGAGGCGCAGCUCCGACGACGAGUGCCGCGCUGCCCUCCGUUCUAGCAGAAACGCAGCACCAGGCGCUCAGCAGCCAACCACACUGCGGCAGGGGGAGGGGAGGAGAUGCAGACAGGCUCCAGAGGCAUUACGUUGGGCGCUCUGCUGCGAGCGCAGAAAGCGCCACACACACACCAAGCCCUGCGCUCCCAUCUCUAGGGAUCCACGGGAGCCGAGCCAGCAAACCGCUCCUGAGUGCCGACCGAGGUACAAGAGGCUGAAUUUCGC
rnacentral:lncRNA from 1 species